rnacentral:lncRNA from 1 species
CGGGACUGCAAAGUGCAGGAGGCUGCUCCUGCGGUUAAUAACUCCCAGACCGCUGCAAGCCCCUGGGCGUUCACUUCCUCGCUGGAAUCUGGACAGUGUUAUCCCGGACAAUUCAGUCCCUGCCAGGAAGGGACAGAAAUGAAAGAAAGAAACACAGGCUGCAAACCCCUGACUCCCCAAUUUGGGACGUGAACGUGAUGAAGCCCGAUUGACUGCGUGGUUCCAGGUCUAUCCUCGGUGGUUCCAGGUCUAUCCUCGGUGGUUCCAGAUCUAUCCUUGAGACCAGCGGUUUUAAAGAGGCUCCCUGGACCACCGGCACCGGCAUGGCCUGGGAGGUGGUUGUAUAGGUAAGUCUCCAGGUCCCACCCGAGACCUACUGAGUCACAG